rnacentral:rRNA from 1 species
AAAGUUCCCUUCGGGGAGCAAGUUAGAGUGGCGCACGGGUGAGUAACACGUAGGUAAUCUACCUUUGGAUGGGGAAUAACAACCGGAAACGGUUGCUAAUACCGCAUAAUGCAGCGGCACCUAAUGGUGACAGUUGUUAAAGCGGGGGAUCGCAAGACCUCGCGUCUAAAGAGGAGCCUGCGGCGGAUUAGCUAGUUGGUAAGGUAACGGCUUACCAAGGCGAUGAUCCGUAGCCGGCCUGAGAGGGCGGUCGGCCACACUGACACUGACAUACGGGUCAGACUCCUACGGGAGGCAGCAGUCGGGAAUUUUGGGCAAUGGGCGAAAGCCUGACCCAGCAACGCCGCGUGAAGGAUGAAAUCCCUCGGGAUGUAAACUUCGCAAGAACGGGAAGAAUAAGUCCGUGCUAACACCACGGGCGAUGACGGUACUGUUUGUAAGCUCCGGCUAACUCCGUGCCAGCAGCCGCGGUAAUACGGGGGGAGCAAGCGUUGUUCGGAUUUACUGGGCGUAAAGGGCGCGUAGGCGGCCACCGCAAGUCGGUUGUGAAAUCUCCGGGCUUAACCCGGAAAGGUCAACCGAUACUGCGGGGCUAGAGUGCAGAAGGGGCAACUGGAAUUCUCGGUGUAGCGGUGAAAUGCGUAGAUAUCGAGAGGAACACCUGCGGCGAAGGCGGGUUGCUGGGCUGACACUGACGCUGAGGCGCGAAAGCUAGGGGAGCGAACGGGAUUAGAUACCCCGGUAGUCCUAGCCUUAAACGAUGGAUGCUUGGUGUCUGGGGUUUUAUAG